GGACUGUUGAGGAGUUCCACAAUAGGACGAAACGGCCGUCCAAUGC
rnacentral:hammerhead_ribozyme from 1 species